UACAGAGGGUGCGAGCGUUGAUCGGAAUUACUGGGCGUAAAGCGUGCGUAGACGGUUAUCUAAGUCAGGUGUGAAAGCCCCGGGCUCAACCUGGGAAUUGCAUUUGAGACUGAAUAGCUAGGGUGCGGAAGAGGGAAGCGGAAUUUCCGGUGUAGCGGUGAAAUGCGUAGAUAUCGGAAGGAACACCAGUGGCGAAAGCGGCUUCCUGGUCCAGCACCGACGUUCAGGCACGAAAGCGUGGGGAGCAAACAGG
rnacentral:rRNA from 1 species